GAAGCGUCUGUUACAGAAUUGAUUCAAUUAAGGAAAGGGAGAGAAAAUCUUAAGAACUUUUUUAAACACUGGAGAUUUGAUGUGUGAGGAGUGUAAGAACAAAAUUCUCCCAGGCCAUGACCAGAGCUCUGAAUCAGCAUAACUCUUUUCCUUGAAGAACGUGAAAACUAGACAAGGAUGAUUCUUUAGAGGUCAGUCCGAAUGGUUUACUCAUGGAAAAUCAGAAGGACGCAGUCUUCAAAAUGGCCUGUAAACUGAAGAGGCUCGGCUGGGAGCAUCUAUAUCUUCCCAUUUGAAAACCUCACCUGUUGCUUGCUCCUACAGAGUAGUACCUGGAAACACUGGAUCCUCUCUCUUUGCCAGCUGAAGACUGCCCAGUCCGCUCUGCAGAAAGCCUGGGGUCACGGAGCAGGAGGCAGGCUGGCACUAUGCUGCAAAUGUGGGAAUCAUGGGCUUAGUUCUGUGGAGGCUGCAAGGAGAGAG